rnacentral:rRNA from 1 species
AAGCGCAGCAUGUGUUGGGAAUCGUAGUGCACGUUGAACACUUGGUCUUCGAACGCGAGAGGCACAGUGUCG